UUCUCACGUGCACGCCAUGACUCAACCUUGAUCGAGAUAAUAUUAGUAGUUCGAAAUGUGUUGUUAUGCUGACAGAUUGCGGGAAUUGCGCUUUCUCUGCGAGCAGCUACCACAAUAAAAAUCGACUUUCUCGAGAAUCAAUUGACUCCAUGAAAGCUUUACGUGAUGCAUUUAUCGUACGAGACGGCAGAGGAUGUGUGAAGCAUAUUGGAAGGUGGAACAGGGAAUGACAUGUCAAAGUACUCUCUAGCAAAAUCUAGCGACUGCUGUGAUAUUUCUUACCAGAUUUAUGAUGUUUGUUUACCAGUUUACAAUGCUGUAUACGCAUAACUCAAUCUUAACGAGUUAUAGUCAUUACCAGUUGGAUAUAACAGUGUACGCUCUAGAUGUUGAAGAAAGUAACAUGAUAG